UUGAUUCACCUGCGCUGCCUGUGUGCACCGUUCUCCCUCACUCAGCUGCUGCCGCUCCUCCGCCGGGCCCUCCCUCAAGCUACACACGCCCACAAUACGCCCACAAUACACCCACAUGACCACGGCCGCGUGACCCGUCCCUCCGCUCACGCGAGAUGAGAGUCUCUGACGUCAGGACUCAGGAGAGUAGACUCUAGGCGCACAGGCGCAGCAAAAGCCCGCCAGAGCAGAUUUAAAAGAGGCAGAGCCCCGCCCCCCAGCAGUGUGUGCCUGUGCCAGCACAGAUUAGAGGGCUCAGGGCGCGAUUCUCCGAGGAAGAAAGAAGAGGACCGACCGACCGACCAACCGACCGACAGACAGACACCAAGGGCGAGCGCUGGGCAUUGCAGCAGAAGUACUGCACUCCAGGACCAUCUUCUCCUGCCUCACUGCCUGCUGGACUGGUCUAUAGACUGUGAGAACAAAUUGGUUCCUUUCUACUUGAUGCCUCCUCGUUGGACCUGGCUGGUUAAUUUUGAUGUUUCAUUUGGAUUUCUGUUCUGGUUGAGAAGCACAACUCGUGCUUAUUCACAAUCAAAUUUUGUGAGAACAAAUUGGUUCCUUUCUACUUGAUGCCUCCUCGUUGGACCUGGCUGGUUAAUUUUGAUGUUUUAUUUGGAUUUCUGUUCUUGUUAAGAAGCACAACUCGUACUUAUUCACAAUCAAAUUUCAGUGAUUUACCAAGAUAUGGGUCAAGAAGCUUUAUGCCUUAUGUGGAGAAUCUUUGUUCUGGAACGCUUUUAACAUUUUUUUCUAUAUUUUAUAUGGUAACAUUA